rnacentral:rRNA from 1 species
GUCUAUGGCCACACCACCCUGAAUGCCCUGAUCUCAUCUAACUCAGAAGCUAAGCAGGAUCAGGCCUGGUUAGUACUUGGAUGGGAGGAAAAACCAAAAAAGCCUAAAAAU